UUCUCUCCAGUGUGAAUGUGUUUGUGAGUCGUUAAGUUAUUUAUCUGAGAGAAAUAUUUACCACAGGUGUCACAGUGAUACGGCUUAUCUCCUGUAUGAAUAUAUUUGUGUUCAGUCAAGUGAUGAUUCUGAGAGAAGGAACCCCUGCUCCGCAAUUCCCGUGAGUCUUCGAGGAUUCCGCUGGAAUCAUACAAAACCCCUUCGACCCGAAGCUGACCUCUUUGGAAUUCCUGGGUUCAGCACUUUCCCCUCUGUCCGAUUUCAUUCAGGUCAACUGGACACUGCAGAAAGUGUUUUUUGCCCAAAAUGUCUCGCAGUAGGACAGAACGAGGGACCUCGUGGUUGUUAAGGAAUCUUCUUGACCAUUCGGCCGUACUCUGCCUACACACACACACACACACACACGAAGCACCUGCUGAAGAUGACGUGCAACUUCCAAAGAAAGUUUUAACACUGGAAAACUUCAAGAGUAUCAGAGAGGAUAUUUAGCAUAAAAGAAGAUUUUACAUCGAACACAUCAUGAAUAUAUAUGAUAUAUUCUUUAAGAUGAAACUAAGAUGCUACACACAAGAAAUAUUACCCUGUUUAUAUAAAUCGAUUAUAGAAUUGUAAAAGAUUUUCUUUGGGUGUGUGAUUAUUAGCAGCAUUUCUGUACUUCACUGCCUGGAAUGGGUGCAAGAAAACCAAUCCUGUAUUCUAAUUAAACCUUGAUUGCAAAGGAAUUGGCAGCCCCCUCAGAUAUUGACAAUGAUUACAGUUGAUGGAAAUAUAUAUUUCUUUAUUGCCCACUAGGGGGCUAAACAUAGAGGGGACAAAUAAGGAAUGACAAAGGGAUUAAGUUGAUUAUAUCAACCCCAGUGUGAAACUGGUACUUUAUUUAUUGA